GAUGAAGAACGUAGCUAAAUGCGAUAAGUAAUGUGAAUUGCAGAAUUCAGUGAAUCAUCGAAUCUUUGAACGCACAUUGCGCCCGCUAGUAUUCUGGCGGGCAUGCCUGUCCGAGCGUCAUUUCAACCCUCAAGCCCCCGGGCUUGGUGUUGGGGAUCGGCGAGCCUCCGCGCCCGCCGUCCCCUAAAUCUAGUGGCGGUCUCGCUGUAGCUUCCUCUGCGUAGUAGCACACCUCGCACUGGGAAACAGCGCGGCCACGCCGUUAAACCCCCAACUUCUGAACGUUUGACCUCGGAUCAGGUAGGAAUACCCGCUGAACUUAAGCAUAUCAAUAAGCGGAGGA
rnacentral:misc_RNA from 1 species